rnacentral:rRNA from 1 species
GCAUAUAAUUAGGCGGAGGAAAAGAAAUUAACGAAGAUUUCCUUAGUAACGGCGAGUGAAAAGGAAAUAGUUCAGCGCCGAAUCCCUUAGCCUAUGGUUAAGGGACCUGUGGCGUGAAGGAGAGCCUCUCUGUUGGGUUACGACUUCGGAAGAUCCCUCGAAUGGGGCUCCAAAGCAGGUGCGAGGCCUGUAACGAGGUGAUACCCAUCAGUUUGCGCCUCCGUAGAGUCGGGUUACUUGAGAGUGUAGCCCAAAGCGGAAGGUAAACCCCUUCUAAAACUAAAUAUUACCACGAGACCGAUAGCGAACAAGUACCGCGAGGGAAAGUUGAAAAGAACUUUGAAGAGAGAGUUCAAAAGGGCGUGAAACCGCUUAGAAGAAAACGGACGGAGCCGUCGGGAGCCUUCGGGAAUCAGUCUCGCGAUAGGCGAACGUGCGGCGAUUGCGGAACGCAAGUCCAAUCGUUGUGCGGCUAGUAGCUUUCGCUUGGCGCAUUUCUCGAAGGUAAGCACCGCGACCGAUACGAAAGGCCGACGAAGCGUUUGGAUUGAGGGCGAGUCCUCUCACGGGGACUCGUAACCAGUCUUUGCGUCGUCUAGUCGUCGGACCGCAGUAUGUAUCGAUAGCCAAAGUUAUAUUAUAUACGCCGGCCGUAAAGCUCGCUCGAGUAACGGAUAGUUGGUCAAUAGUGUUGGUACUUGCUCGCAGGUGCCGAAUCUAUUCGAUUCGGCUUUGAAGUUAUCGGCGACAUUUCGGCGUAUAGGCGUCGGCGGUGUCAGUGUCGGCCACCCAUCCGACCCGUCUUGAAACACGGACCAAGGAGUCUAACAUAUGCGCGAGCUAAUGGGUGGAAAACCCAAAAGCGUAAUAAAAGUAAACGCCGUUUCGGACGGCUAAGGUACGAUCCUAGUGUCCUUUGCGGCAUUAGGCGCAGUACUGUCCCGUCCCGACCGCAUGUCGGUAGGGCGGAGAUAGAGUGCAUACGUUGGGACCCGAAAGAUGGUGAACUAUGCCUGAGCAGAGCGAAGCCAGAGGAAACUCUGGUGGAGGUUCGUAGCGGUUCUGACGUGCAAAUCGAUCGUCAGACUUGGGUA